UACAGAGGGUGCAAACGUUGUUCGGAAUUACUGGGCGUAAAGCGUGUGUAGGCGGUCACGUAAGUCGGAUGUGAAAGCCCUGGGCUCAACCCAGGAAGUGCACUCGAUACUGCGUGGCUUGAGUACUGGAGAGGUUGGUGGAAUUCUCGGUGUAGAGGUGAAAUUCGUAGAUAUCGAGAGGAACACCGGUGGCGAAGGCGGCCAACUGGACAGAUACUGACGCUGAAACACGAAAGCGUGGGGAGCAAACAGG
rnacentral:rRNA from 1 species